UAGUACCAGGUCGGUUCUCCAGACCUCCGUGCCUGCGCAAGUCGCCCGCGUGUCGCCUUUGAAAAAUUCCAACACGAAAAUUAGGGGGGGUAGAUCCGCGCGCGCGCCGAAACGGCCCCUUUGCCGACGUCGAAUCGCUUUAAAACGCUAAAGGAACGUGGCACUAUGUUGCUUCUUCGAUCUGAGGGGGGCGCGACUCUUGAAACUCGUCGCCGGCACGAGAAAACGAAACUCGCGCGCCGCCGUGGUAAAAAUUCGAUCGCGAAAAUUUGGGGGGGUAGACCCGCGCGCGCGCCGAAAAGGCCAUUUUGCCGAUGUCGAAUCGCUUUAAGACGCUAAAGGAACGUGGUACUGGGUCGGUUCUGCGACCUGAGCGUCGCAAGACUCGCCCUCGUCGCCUCCCGUACGAGAAAAUUAAACUCGCGCGCGCCUUGGGCAAAUUUAAACACGAAAAUGAGGGGGGUAGAUCCGCGCGCGCCCCGAAACGGCACCUUUGCCGACGUCGAAUCGGUUUAAAACGCUAAAGGAAGGUGGCACUAGGUCGGUUCUCCGUUCUGAGGGUGGAGCGACUCUUCCAACUCGUCGCCGGCACGAGAAAACGAAACUCGCGCGCCGCCGAGGUGAAAAUUCGAUCGCGAAAAUUAGGGGGGGUAGGUCCGGGAAACCCGUUGAACCCCGGUCGUGCUAGGGAUAGGGAAUUGCAAUUAUUUCCCUUGAACGAGGAAUUCCCAGUAAGCGCGAGUCAUUAGCUCGCGUUGAUUACGUCCCUGCCCUUUGUACACACCGCCCGUCGCUACUACCGAUUGAAUGGUUUAGUGAGGUCCUCCGAUUGGACCCGGUCCGGGCGGCGACGUCCGAGCCGGCGUCCGAGAAGACGA
rnacentral:ncRNA from 1 species